CAGCAGCCGCGGGAAAACCAGCACCUCGAGUGGUCAGGAGGUUUAUUGGGCCUAAAGCAUCCGUAGCCGGUUGCAUAAGUUUUCGGUUAAAUCUAUGCGCUUAACGUAUAGGCCGCCGAAAAUACUGUGCAGCUAGGGAGUGGGAGAGGUACACGGUACUCGAUAGGAAGGGGUAAAAUCCUUUGAUCUAUUGAUGACCACCUGUGGCGAAGGCGGUGUACCAGAACACGUUCGACGGUGAGGGAUGAAAGCUGGGGGAGCAAACCGGAUUAGAUACCCGUGUAGUCCCUGUCUCUUAUAC
rnacentral:rRNA from 1 species